CAGCCGCCGCGGUAAUACCGGCGGCCCGAGUGGCGGCCACUAUUAUUGGGCUUAAAGCGUCCGUAGCCGGGUUGGUUAGUCUCCCGGGAAAUCUGGCCGCUUAACGGGCAGAAUUCCGGGAGAUACUGCCAGCCUAGGGACCGGGAGAGGCCGAGGGUAUUCCCGGAGUAGGGGUGAAAUCCUAUAAUCCCGGGAGGGCCACCUGUGGCGAAGGCGCUCGGCUGGAACGGGUCCGACGGUGAGGGACGAAGGCCAGGGGAGCAAACCGGAUUAGAUGCCCGGGUAGUCCUGGCGGUAAACGAUGCGGACUUUGUGUCGGACAAGCUAUGAGCUUGUCCGGUGCCGGAGGGAAGCCGUUAAGUCCGCCGCCUGGGGAGUACGGCCGCAAGGCUGAAACUUAAAGGAAUUGGCGGG
rnacentral:rRNA from 1 species